ACUAGCCUACCCAAUUUUAUCCCUUGGAAAUGCUUUUGGUUGCAAGAAAUAGAAUACUCAGCUAACAUUAGCUUUUGACAAAAGAGCAUUUAUUGUUUAUGCACAACCAUUUCAGACACAGGCAGUCUAUGUCAUCUCAACAGCAUAAACAAGGACCCAGGCUCCAACAUCAUCUUCAUCAUCUUUAGCAUCUUGAUCCUCACGACCGCCACCUGAGGCCACAAGAUAGCUACUGCAACUCCAGGUGUCACACAACUAUUAAAGGCAGAAAGAAGGAAGGAGUUGGCAUCAAAUGCUCCUGUUACUUAUGUCAAGAAAGCAAAAGAUUUUCCAGAAAAUCCCUAGCAGACAUCUCCUUUGCUUUCAUGGUCUAGAACUCUGUCAUGUGAGAACUUCCAGCUCCCAGGGAAGCUUUCUAACCUCUAGGUGGGAGGCAGCAAGGGAGAUCCCACAGUUCUUUGAUGUGCCACCCUGAUGAGAGUAUAUUCCCUAGUGUUGCUUUCCUGAGAGCGAGGAUGAGGAGCCAAUGAGUAGCUUUUGAUAAAGAGGGAGGAAAAAGCCCUGAAAAAAUUUAGGCCUUCUCCUCGGAGGUUAGACAGGGGUGGAUAUAAUAUGAAGACCCUAGACACCAUGAGUCUCAGGGCUCUGAGGUUUGGAGUACUGAACAGAGGACUGUGAAGGUCUGGAAGCUUGCAUUGUGUUUUGUCUAGCUUUGUUAUUCUCAAAACUUAAGGGUGUAUCUAGGGCAGACUCCCCACCUGUUCAGCUAGCUGGAGCAUCAGGGGUUCUAAUGUGUGUUUAACUCGGUGGAGCCCCAGAAAGCCUGACAGUGAUAUCCUCUUCUUUCCUCCUUCUCCCAAGGGGCUCUGGAACCUCUAGGUGCCCAGACCUGUGCAAUGUAUAGGUGUUGCUGAGUCCUGUAAAUGACACUAUUUUACCUCCUCCCAGGAGCUUCACUACUUUCUGACCCCAUUGAAGUGGCCAUAUAGGUUCUUCCCAUUCCUGAACAACUGUGCCUGUGGAAUCUUGAUAAAAUAGGACAUUAUUUUUUCAUAAUAAGCAUAGCUAUCAUUUACUGACUUAUAGCAAAACAGUUCAGAGAUGACCAGCCCAGAGUUACACAGCGACAGAGUCAAGAUUCCACCCAGGUCAGCCUGAUUCCACUGGCCUUACCUUUCUCUUUUCUUUUUUCUUUUCUUUUCUGUUCUUUUCUUUUCUUUUCUCUUUUCUUCUUUUCUCUUCCUUUCCCUUCCCUUCCCUUCUCUUUUCUUUUUUCUUUCCUUUUCUUUUUUUUUUUUUUUUUAACAAGGUCUCACUCAGCACCUAGGCUGGAAUGCAGUGACGUGAUCUCUGCUCGUUGUAGUCUCAACUUCCCGGGCUCAAGUGAUCCUUCCACCUCAGCCUCCCAAGCAGCUAGGACUACAGGCGCACACCACCACACCAGGCUAAUUUUGUUUGUUUUUGGAGAGACAAGGUCUCACUAUGUUGCCCAAACUGGUAUUGAACCACUGGGCUCAAGCAAUUCUGACUUGACUUCCCAAAGUGCUGAGAUUAUAGCUGUGAGCCACCGCACCCUGUCAACCUUAUCUUUCUUGUUGCAGCAGUCUGACUUCUGAGUGGUUUUCCUAGACUUUGUGCAAUAUCCAGCACACAAUAUAUGUGUGGGAUUGCUAAUUUCCUCCACUGGUUUAUUUCUAUCUCCUGGUUCCUGAAGAACUCAACUUUUUGUAUAAAAAGACUUAUAUCCUCAAUACCUUUGAGAAUAGUGGCUAGAACCUAGUAAUGCACAUGUGUGGAAGGGCUGUUACAUAAAGAAGUUUCUCAUUUCCCAGGCUUUCUAGAUAUUUGGACUAACAGAAAAAAAUGGGCCUGUCUACAUGUGGGUCUGUCAUUCUUAGAGAUUAUUAACUUAAUUACCUAUUUUUAUAGUGAAAGGCUGAGACUAGGGGAGAUGAAAUGUUAUGUCCAAAGCUCAUACAGCCAAUUCAGGAAGGACCUCUACUCUAGCCCCUCAAGCAGGUGCAGCCAGAACAAACACCUCCUUCCUAUAUGAAGCUACGGAGGUGACAAGUAAACCUAAAUGUUUUCAGGUCGGAUCGUAACAUCCACAGGUGGAUCCCAGUUUACUGUUGGGGGACUUUGCCUCACUUAGUGAAACUGUAAAGAAAUCUAGCUUUCUUUUGGAGUAAAACAUCAGGUUGAAUCACAGUUUUACCGGAAACUAGCUUGAUGCUCUUGGGUAAGUUGUUUAAUCUGAUUAGGUCGCUGUGUUUUUUGCUGUAAAGUGGAAAAAUGAAAGUGUUUACCUUGUGCGAUGGCUAUGAGGAGUAAAUGAAGAACUUGACGUAAAGUGUUUUAGCACAAACACAUACCCAGAGUGAGCAUUCAAUACAUUGUAGUUAUAGUCAUUACAGUCAUAAUUAGAUUUUUUUCUAAUUAUUGGUGUGCUGAAGAAUAUUUGACUUUGUCACUUUCCCACGUUGUUUUACUUCUUGCUGUGGAAGGGGCUCUGCAGCUGCAGAAGGUCACUGACGUCUGAGGUUUGGUUUUGCCCUUCUCCUCUGUCUCUUCUGACACAUUCUUCUGCCUGUUUCUGUCCUUCCAACCCUCCCGGAACCUUCCACUUGGCCCAGAUGAGCAGCUUGCUGGGUCACAGGGCUGGCCUGCCGGAAUGCCCUGACAUUCUGCUGUUGAAACAGGUGACCCUUCAUUACUCCUGGGCAGAGGCUGGCCUGUCAGUCAGCUGGUAAUUAACAGAGUCUGGAUAUGAGUUGCCAGAGAAAGGGCUCUGGCCACUGCCUCCCACACAAUGCUUUUCUGGUGUGCUACAGCUGGUAAAGCCAAUGGUUAAAUAUCCAGGAAUUUGGCAAGCCAGCUGUUAAGCUGCUGAAUAUCCAGGAAUUUUGUGAGCCACUUGUCAAACUGUUGGUAGCUUGAAAUCAAUCGUGGUGGGAGUCUUUAUGCCAUGGAAAUAUCAGCAGACACUACAAAUCACCAUACUGUCUCACCCUGCAGCGCAUUUACCAGCACAUCAUUGAGCAAACUGUCUUCUCCUAAAACUCACUAACUGAGGGAAACACUACAGGAUUCUGGGCUUGACAUGUGGUUAACACCCACAUUUUAAGAAAAUUAAUUCUUUUAGUUAUAAAAGUAAUACAAGCUUGUUAUGAAACAUUGAAAUAAUACAGGACAAAAAACCUGAAAAGUAAAGGUCUCUGUCCAUUUAUCCCUCCUCGUUGCAGAGAUAUCCACUCAUUUCUGUUUGUUUCUCUCUUGAACUCUUUUGUAGAGAUAGAAAAAUCGUUAUUUUAUAUGUCUACUGGUUUACUGGAUGGGGCUGAACUUGAAAGAAGAAACCACUUUAUUUUUCUCUUACCUCUGCUCCUGCUAUCCAUCAUGUUACAUAGAAUCCCUCUGACUUGCCCCUGAGGACUGGCUUGAGCAGACACAAUAGCUUUCUGGCCAUUUCUAGGCAUUGGAAAAAUAGUGCAGUCCAGUUCAAUUUAAAACUUGAAUCUCACAUCCAUUUCAAAGCUCCUCUCAUCCCCCAAUCUUAGGCCUGAACUGUGGCUCAGAAACCUGUAGUGGGAAAGCUGUGGGGUCGCUCAUUCUCCUUCUAUCUCCUCCCACUUAGGGCAGAGAAAGAUACAUAAAGCUCUUUUUAUUUAGGGGCUGCCCUCUGUAGCUCUCUCUUUGCUUGGUGGUUGACCUACACACCCUCUAGGAUGGCAGCAAGUUCUUGGGAGGUCUAUCACCUGGAGUCUUCUAAUUGCUGUUUCCUCCUGGCUGACCUCUUGUAACCCUUCCUCAAGUCCAGCCCCUACAGGUACAAUCUACAGCCACUUACUGGUGGUGUCCCAUCUCCAAGCAGGCAGCCUUCUUGGGUUGAAUCUCAUCAAAACAGCUUUAGUGUUGCUACUUCCCACAACAUCCACUUGGCUCUCGGGAAAUUCAGGCAUCUUUGACCUACCAAAUGGUAGGAGUACAGCUUACCCAUCGGCCGACCCCUCUCUUCCCACCUUCUAUCAUGUGUGGCUCCAGCCAAAGGUUCCAGGUUAUCCUUGCUUUUCCCAAAUGCCUGCCCUGUGGACUUCAGGCUGCCACACCAGACACAGAAGAAACAGCCUUCUGUAGACUGUUUAACUAUAUCUCACAGUUGUGUAAUGCCAAAUCCCUACAAUAAAUCCCUUAUUAUUU
rnacentral:lncRNA from 1 species